GACGAACGCUGGCGGCGUGCCUAAUACAUGCAAGUAGAACGCAGUUGCGCACGGGUGAGUAACACGUAUGUAACUUCCUCAUAGCGGGGGGAAACUAAUUGGAACCAUAGCUAAUACCGCAUUCUGUGAGAUGGACCUGCGUUGUAUUUGCUAGUUGGUGAGGUAAAGGUCCACCAAGGCGACGAUACAUAGCCGACCGGAGAGGGUGAUCCGCCCAAAUGGGACCGAGACACGGCCCAGUAUCCUAAGGGAGGGAGGAGUAGGGAAUCAUCGGAAAUGGACGGAAGUCUGAACGAGCAAAGGCGGGUGAGUGAAGAAGGUUUUCGGGUGGGUAAGCGAUGUUGUUAGAGAAGCGUUAACUAAACAGAAAGGGACGGCUAACUACGUGCCAGCAGCCGCGGUAAUAC
rnacentral:rRNA from 1 species